UUUUAUGUCUAGGUACGGAAGAUUGUCUGUACGGAAGCCUUACCCUGCUGAUGCUGAAGAGCAGGCCUGGUGUGCCUGAGCAGACACCAGUGAAGCAGUAUCUGAGUCUCCAGUAGAACAGGUGCUCCCAGACAAAGAUCCCAGUCAGCCACUGAGCCUCCAACUCUUCCAUCUCACCUGAGGAGAGACGCAUACGCCCAGGCCCACGUCAUCAAUCAGCUCUGUCUCCCAUUUCAUGUAUACAUCAGUGGGCCACAGUACUACCAUCCACAGACAUAUCCUCCUGUUCCAGAUCUCCCCACGCACUAACAUGUCAAAGUGCAGCUGCCAGGAGGAUAAUUCUGUCAUUUUUCAUGUUCAGUGUAUAGCACUUCUGUGAAGCACAGCAUAUAGUCUGGAGAGAGAGAAAUACUGCAGACGUCUAUGAAGGAAGAUCCCUGAACAAAAAUUAUGCUAAAUAAUUUAACAGAUGGACAUUGCUGCAUGAACACAACACAUUCUAGUUCUGGCUUUUAUACACCACAUAAAAUCUCUUUAGGGUAGACAUUUACAUUUAUUCAUUAAGCAGAUGCUUUUAAAGUGACUUACAAAUAAGGAACAGACAUAUUUUCAACAUAGAUACAGUUGCACACAUAAUUAUGAAUAUGAGUCAUUGACACAUAA